AGAGUUUGAUCCUGGCUCAGAAUGAACGCUGGCGGCGUGCUUAACACAUGCAAGUCGCACGAGAACGCUUCAGCUUGCUGGAGCUAGUAAAGUGGCGCACGGGUGAGUAACGCGUGGGUAAUCUACCUCCGAAUUGGGGAUAACACUGCGAAAGCGGUGCUAAUACCGAAUGACAUCACCGGAACUUUGGUUGCGGUGAUCAAAGGUGGCCUCUACAUGUAAGCUACUGUUUGGAGAUGAGCCCGCGUACCAUUAGCUAGUUGGUAGGGUAAUGGCCUACCAAGGCUUCGAUGGUUAGCUGGUCUGAGAGGAUGAUCAGCCACACUGGAACUGACACACGGUCCAGACUCCUACGGGAGGCAGCAGUGAGGAAUUUUGCGCAAUGGGGGAAACCCUGACGCAGCAACGCCGCGUGAGUGAUGAAGGCUUUCGGGUCGUAAAGCUCUGUCAAGUGGGAAGAAUAUGCCCUGUGAUAAUACCAUGGGGCACUGACGGUACCACUGAAGGAAGCACCGGCUAACUCCGUGCCAGCAGCCGCGGUAAUAC
rnacentral:rRNA from 1 species